GCCUCUGUUGACUAGUAGACUGUGAUUCAUGGACAAAAUAGUAAUGACCAAAACUAAUCCCAGGGCUACAUAAUUUUCACAGUUUGCCCCUGUAUAAAAUUAUAUUUUUGUUAGAUUCUUAUAAAUGAUUGUCUGACAUAAGUUGACACUACAGUGGUUUAGGUAAUAUUCUAGAUGUAUUAGUAACAUGAAAUAAAACUAUUUUUCAUAUCUUAUUACCCUCCCCCCACCCCUUGCACAGUUUUUCUAAAAUUAUUUUUUAAAUUUUCUAUUCUAGAGUUUAUUUCAUUUU